rnacentral:rRNA from 1 species
UGAGUGCGAGUUGCUACGGCAACGAAGUUGGUGACGUCAAGCUUCCAAGAAAAGCCCUAUACCCGUUAAGGCAUCAUGGCCUGUACCCGAAACCGACACAGGUGGGGUGGUAGAGAAUACCGAGGGGCGCGAGGUAACUCUCUCUAAGGAACUCGGCAAAAUGGCCCCGUAACUUCGGGAGAAGGGGUGCCACCGCAAGGUGGUCGCAGUGAAGAGGCCCAGGCGACUGUUUACCAAAAACACAGGUCUCCGCUAAGUCGCAAGACGAUGUAUGGGGGCUGACGCCUGCCCAGUGCCGGAAGGUUAAGGAAGCCGGUUAGCGUAAGCGAAGCUGGCGACUGAAGCCCCGGUGAACGGCGGCCGUAACAAUAACGGUCCUAAGGUAGCGAAAUUCCUUGUCGGGUAAGUUCCGACCCGCACGAAAGGCGUAACGAUCUGGGCGCUGUCUCGGAGAGAGGCUCGGCGAAAUAGAAUUGUCUGUGAAGAUGCGGACUACGUGCACCCGGACAGAAAGACCCUAUGAAGCUUUACUGUAGCUUGGUAUUGUGCUCGGGCUCGGAAUGCGCAGGAUAGGUGGGAGGCUAUGAACCAUUGCUUGUGGGUGAUGGUGAGCCACUGGUGAGAUACCACUCUUUCCGAGCUAGAGUUCUAACGGCCACCCGUUAUCCGGGGGCCGGACAGUAUCAGGUGGGCAGUUUGACUGGGGCGGUCGCCUCCUAAAAGGUAACGGAGGCGCGCAAAGGUUUGCUCAGGCUGGUUGGAAAUCAGCCGACGAGUGUAAAAGCAGAAGCAAGCUUGACUGUGAGACCUACAAGUCGAACAGGGAGGAAACUCGGCUUUAGUGAUCCGACGGUUCUGCGUGGAAGGGCCGUCGCUCAACGGAUAAAAGUUACUCUAGGAUAACAGGCUGAUCUCCCCCAAGAGUUCACAUCGACGGGGAGGUUUGGCACCUCGAUGUCGGCUCAUCGCAACCUGGGGCUGAAGUCGGUCCCAAGGGUUGGGCUGUUCGCCCAUUAAAGCGGUACGCGAGCUGGGUUCAGAACGUCGUGAGACAGUUCGGUCCAUAUCCGGUGCAUGCGCAGGAAUAUUGAGAGGAUUUCUCCCUAGUACGAGAGGACCGGGAGGAACGCACCUCUGGUGUACCAGUUAUCGUGCCAACGGUAAACGCUGGGUAGCCAUGUGCGGAGAGGAUAACCGCUGAAAGCAUCUAAGUGGGAAGCCCACCUCAAGAUGAGUAUUCCCAUGGCGUUAGCCAGUAAGGUCACGGGAAGAACACCCGUUGAUAGGCUCUAUGUGGAAGCGCAGUAAUGCGUGAAGCAGAGGAGUACUAAUAGACCGAGGGCUUGACC